rnacentral:rRNA from 1 species
GAUGAACGCUGGCGGCGUGCCUAAUACAUGCAAGUCGAGCGAACAGACGAGGAGCUUGCUCCUCUGACGUUAGCGGCGGACGGGUGAGUAACACGUGGAUAACCUACCUAUAAGACUGGGAUAACUUCGGGAAACCGGAGCUAAUACCGGAUAAUAUAUUGAACCGCAUGGUUCAAUAGUGAAAGGCGGUUUUGCUGUCACUUAUAGAUGGAUCCGCGCCGCAUUAGCUAGUUGGUAAGGUAACGGCUUACCAAGGCAACGAUGCGUAGCCGACCUGAGAGGGUGAUCGGCCACACUGUAACUGAGACACGGUCCAGACUCCUACGGGAGGCAGCAGUAGGGAAUCUUCCGCAAUGGGCGAAAGCCUGACGGAGCAACGCCGCGUGAGUGAUGAAGGUCUUCGGAUCGUAAAACUCUGUUAUUAGGGAAGAACAAAUGUGUAAGUAACUAUGCACGUCUUGACGGUACCUAAUCAGAAAGCCACGGCUAACUACGUG